GGGCCCGUAGUUCACCUGGUAGAACAUCUCAUUUGCAAUGAGAAGGUAGGCAGUUCGAGUCUGCCCGGGUCCA
rnacentral:tRNA from 1 species